rnacentral:antisense_RNA from 1 species
GCUCACAGAAAAUCAAGUGAAGGGAGGAUUGAGGCCUUGGCUUGCUGUGGGGCACCUGGACACCUGGGCUGGCCACCUGCCAGGCCUGGCAGCAAGGUCUUAGAGCAGUGGCUGGCACAGUCCCCAACAGGACUGAGAAAUGUUGGCUUAGGCUUUCCUAGUCUUUGGUUGCGGCUUCAAGCACUGACUGGGCCCUACCUUCAGAUGAAGCACCUUCUCCGUGACUGCUGCCCUUCACGUUUGACCUCUUCUAAGAAUCCUUUCCUAACUCUGCCUGGCUUCAAUAGCUCCUCUUCGACAUUCUCUUGCUACUAUGCCAAGAGAAGAGAACAGAAAUGAAAUCUGAUAAGUGUGUGCCUCCCACGACCAUCCCUUAUAGACGCACUCUCGCUCUGCUCGUAGAUGCCGCGGCCCAUCUGUGGGGCCUGCCUGCCCACGGGCCGGAAGUGUUGGACUCAAAAGCAAUCCAUCAAAUGCGGAGACAUAUUUGCACUGUGUUCUGAAAUACAUUUUUAACUUUUAUUGCAUUCUCACAGAGCCUAAAACAAUAAUUCGUUAAAAAACAGCAA